rnacentral:rRNA from 1 species
UGGGGAAUUUUGGACAAUGGGGGAAACCCUGAUCCAGCCAUCCCGCGUGUGCGAUGAAGGCCUUCGGGUUGUAAAGCACUUUUGGCAGGAAAGAAACGUCGCGGGUUAAUACCCCGCGAAACUGACGGUACCUGCAGAAUAAGCACCGGCUAACUACGUGCCAGCAGCCGCGGUAAUACGUAGGGUGCAAGCGUUAAUCGGAAUUACUGGGCGUAAAGCGUGCGCAGGCGGUUCGGAAAGAAAGAUGUGAAAUCCCAGAGCUUAACUUUGGAACUGCAUUUUUAACUACCGGGCUAGAGUGUGUCAGAGGGAGGUGGAAUUCCGCGUGUAGCAGUGAAAUGCGUAGAUAUGCGGAGGAACACCGAUGGCGAAGGCAGCCUCCUGGGAUAACACUGACGCUCAUGCACGAAAGCGUGGGGAGCAAACAGGAUUAGAUACCCUGGUAGUCCACGCCCUAAACGAUGUCAACUAGCUGUUGGGGCCUUUCGGGCCUUGGUAGCGCAGCUAACGCGUGAAGUUGACCCG